rnacentral:rRNA from 1 species
GCAAGGAAUAUUGCGCAAUGGGCGAAAGCCUGACGCAGCGACGCCGCGUGGGUGAAGAAGGCCUUCGGGUCGUAAAGCCCUUUUGCGAGGGAAGAGGAUGGACGGUACCUCGCGAAUAAGCCCCGGCUAACUACGUGCCAGCAGCCGCGGUAAUACGUAGGGGGCGAGCGUUGUCCGGAAUUACUGGGCGUAAAGAGUACGUAGGCGGUUCGUUAAGUCGGCUGUGAAAUUCCUCGGCCCAACCGAGGGGGGUCAGCCGAUACUGGCGGGCUGGAGGGAGGCAGGGGGAAGCGGAAUUCCCGGAGUAGUGGUGAAAUGCGUAGAUACCGGGAGGAACACCAGAGGCGAAAGCGGCUUCCUGGGCUUUUCCUGACGCUGAGGUGCGAAGGCGUGGGGAGCGAACCGGAUUAGAUACCCUAGUAGUCC